UACGAGGGGGGCGAGCGUUUGUUCGGAAUUAUUGGGCGUAAAGGGUGCGUAGGCGGUUUUGUAAGUCUUAUGUGAAAUCUACAGGCUCAACUUGUAGUCUGCAUGAGAAACUGCAGGGCUUGAGUAUGGGAGAGGUGAGUGGAAUUCCUGGUGUAGCGGUGAAAUGCGUAGAUAUCAGGAGGAACACCUGUGGCGAAAGCGGCUCACUGGACCAUAACUGACGCUGAUGCACGAAAGCUAGGGGAGCAAACAGG
rnacentral:rRNA from 1 species